GAUCAUCCUAAGUGACUCCAUUUUUAAAAGCUGUGCAGAUAGGAAGGCAGAAAGACUCUGCAUCUAGUUUUGUAUGUGAACCAUCACCAUCUGCUCAAAUAGACCAUGAGACACAGACUGACGAUUUAUUGGUGGCAAUAAAACAUCACCGCCUGUGAACUCCUCCAUUUACAUCAGACGCACGUGGACACAACAAAAACCAUGUCAUUAAUGGGGGCUCGUCCGGGAUCUUCGAGACCACCCCAGACUCCGAAGACCCCUUGGAGGGAGCAUAGCAGCAUGUAGGCAGACAAGAUGCUGGAGAAAUAUUUGAGAGCUCUAUGUCCUGAUCCGAAUUUCAGCCAUGAAUUUAGAAGACCUUCGGUGAAAUUGUUUCCCAUUCCCUACAAGUUGCUGUGGCAGACCAAGAGUCGAGGAGAACAAACCGUGCAGGCGGGACAAAGUCAAGUCUGAUCUCCAAUCUCAGUCUUUGGAAACAAUGUUCCCAGCAGCUGAAUUUCAAGUACCUUGAAAAAGAAAGAAGAGCCGGGAAGAAGCUCGACUCCUCCAAGCCCUAGGGCUGAGGGAGAAACUGAAACAAUAGCUUCUCACAUUUCCCAGGGUGGUGGUUUGCUUGUUGUGUUUAGGGAGUUAGCAUAAGAAACACAAUUACCCUAGGGAAAUUACUAAAGCUAGGAGCUAUUGUGUUCCCUGAGACGUGCCAGGGGAAAAGUGGUAUGUGCUCUUUAUGACACAGAAGAGGACCUACCUUCCUGGCAUCCACUGGAGAAGUUCAUGUUGGUUGCAGUUGGGCUGUCUGUAGUCUGGAGCCUCCAAGGCUGGUUGCUACCAGCUUCCUUAUGAUGACUCAAGGACCACAAAGGACGCCUUGACUUUUAAAAUAGGGUUGAAGUUCUAGCCAAAUAACUCUUUAACAUUAUCCUGAGAAAGGAACAUCUUCAAUAGCCAAAGCCCAGGAACAGAGACAAAAAAUCGGUUCCUUCUAUUUCUCCUUUGGAGUUACCAGUGAAUAAUAGGCAGGGCUGUGCUAUUCUUUGGACCUUAAACGGCCUCCAGACACCCAUGCAGUAAAGGCUUGUCUUUGAAUGUAUUACAAAGUUGUGGAAACUUUCAAGGCAGAGAAAAAAAUAAUCAAUUAAAUUUUAAAGAAGCCAGACACCAAGGGCCUAUCAGGAAGAUUGUUUAAGUUCAAGGCCAGCACAGGCAACAUAGUGAGAGUCUAUCUUAAAACAACAAAACAAAACAAAACAAAACAAAACAAAACAAAACAAAACAAAACAAAACACAUUUAUAAGAAGUGGGGUCUAACGGAAGUUAUUAGGUCACUGGGAUGUGUCCUCAAAGGGACUCAUGGAAUAUUUACUUCAUCCUCUUUCUCUUCUCUGUCCCAGCUGUGAGAUGAGGAAUAUCACCUGUAACCACCACUGUCAAAGCCAAAAUCAACAUUUUCUUAUCCUAAGUUAAUUGUCUCAGGUAUCUGUUACAGUAGAGAAAGCCAACUAACACUAGAGACAGCACAGAGUGUGGCAUGGCCUCCCGGAAGUGAGGCAUUUCUAGAGUUGAUUAUACUGGAACAAGUCAUAAAUCCUCCAAGUUCAUCUCUAUAUGAUCGACACAUGCUGAGGCUGACUUGACGCUGUAUUAUUGGUUCUUGAAACACUAACCCAGGCUGGAGAGAUGGCUCAGUGGUUAAGAGCACUGGCUGCUCUUCCAGAGGUCCUGAGUUCAAUUCCCAGCAACCACAUGGUGGCUCAUGACUAUCUAUGAAGGGAACUUCUGGCAUGACUUUUGUUAUUUUGUCUUUUUUUUUUUUUUUUCCGGAGCUGGGGACCGAACCCAGGGCUUUGCGCUUGCUAGGCAAGCGCUCUACCGCUGAGCUAAAUCCCCAACCCCAUGACUUUUACACUUUAAAAAAAACCCAUAAAUCAUAAAUAAAUAAACUUAAAAAAGAAACACUAACUCAUCUCUGUUAUUGGCUUUCCUUUACCUCGUGAGCUAAAUAGAACACUUACUUUGUGUCAGGGACAGUGCUGGGCAAUAUAUUCUUUCUAUUGUUCUCAGGAAACACAUAAAACAGGGUCUAUUUCUAUCUCGUUCGGUGAAUGAGGAACCAGGGAAUAU